UCCGGAAUGGUGUAGUGGUUAGCAUUUCUGCCUCUCAAUAACAAAUAGUUAUGCGGUCGCAGGAGACCGGGGUUCAAUUCCCCGUUCCGGAA